UGGGGAAUAUUGCACAAUGGAGGAAACUCUGAUGCAGCGAUGCCGCGUGAGGGAAGAAGGUUUUAGGAUUGUAAACCUCUGUCUUCAGGGACGAAAAAUGACGGUACCUGAGGAGGAAGCUCCGGCUAACUACGUGCCAGCAGCCGCGGUAAUACGUAGGGAGCGAGCGUUGUCCGGAAUUACUGGGUGUAAAGGGAGCGUAGGCGGGAUCGCAAGUCAGAUGUGAAAACUAUGGGCUUAACCCAUAAACUGCAUUUGAAACUGUGGUUCUUGAGUGAAGUAGAGGUAAGCGGAAUUCCUAGUGUAGCGGUGAAAUGCGUAGAUAUUAGGAGGAACAUCAGUGGCGAAGGCGGCUUACUGGGCUUUAACUGACGCUGAGGCUCGAAAACGUGGGGAGCAAACAGGAUUAGAUACCCUGGUAGUCCACGCCGUAAACGAUGAUUACUAGGUGUGGGGGGACUGACCCCUUCCGUGCCGCAGCAAACGCAAUAAGUAAUCCACCUGGGGAGUACGACCGCAAGGUUGAAACUCAAAGGAAUUGACGGGGGCCCGCACAAGCAGUGGAGUAUGUGGAUUAAUUCGAAGCAACGCGAAGAACCUUACCAAGUCUUGACAUCCCGUUGACCUGUUAUGUAAUGUAACAUCUCUUCGGAGCAACGGAGACAGGUGGUGCAUGGUUGUCGUCAGCUCGUGUCGUGAGAUGUUGGGUUAAGUCCCGCAACGAGCGCAACCCUUGUCCUUAGUAGCCAGCAGUAAGAUGGGCACUCUAGGGAGACUGCCGGGGAUAACUCGGAGGAAGGUGGGGACGACGUCAAAUCAUCAUGCCCCUUAUGACUUGGGCUACACACGUGCUACAAUGGCGUAAACAAAGGGAAGCAAACCUGUGAAGGCAAGCAAAUCCCAAAAAUAACGUCUCAGUUCGGAUUGUAGUCUGCAACUCGACUACAUGAAGCUGGAAUCGCUAGUAAUCGCAGAUCAGAAUGCUGCGGUGAAUACGUUCCC
rnacentral:rRNA from 1 species